CCUACGGGAGGCAGCAGUGGGGAAUAUUGCACAAUGGGGGAAACCCUGAUGCAGCGACGCCGCGUGAGUGAAGAAGUAUCUCGGUAUGUAAAGCUCUAUUAGCAGGGAAGAAGAAAGACGGUACCUGACUAAGAAGCCCCGGCUAACUACGUGCCAGCAGCCGCGGUAAUACGUAGGGGGCGAGCGUUAUCCGGAUUUACGGGGUGUAAAGGGAGCGUAGACGGGUGUGCAAGUCUGAAGUGAAAGUCCAGGGCUCAACCCUGGGAGUGCUUUGGAAACUGGGGAGCUAGAGGGCGGGAGAGGUAAGUGGAAUUCGUAGUGUAGCGGUGAAAUGCUUAGAUAUUAGGAAGAACACCAGUGGCGAAGGCGGCUUACUGGACAGUAACUGACGUUGAGGCUCGAAAGCGUGGGGAGCAAACAGGAUUAGAUACCCGAGUAGUC
rnacentral:rRNA from 1 species